rnacentral:tRNA from 1 species
AGCAGCGUGGUUUAGUGGAAAAAGCACGGGCUUGAGAGUCAGAGGUCAUGGGUUCUAAUCCCAGCUCUGCCA